rnacentral:lncRNA from 1 species
UAGGUAGAUGCUGCCUCUCAUGCCCCUGAAUUAGCCAAGAGGCACUCCAGCAGGAAACCUUGCUCUGCUUAUAUUGCAAAGGCGGCACCACUUCCUAUGCAGGCCCCUGCCCAGAGCACCUUGCCUGUGCAGCUGAGAAAUGUCAUGCUGCAGCAGGAGAGGGGGAUCAGCCACAGCCAAGAGUGCGCCCUGCCACCAUCUGUUGACCCAGGCUCCCUGGAGCUGGAUUCCACCCUGGCUCAAGACCUUUGAUGAAGUGCUGGCAUGGAGCAGAAACUCCCUUAAGCAGCAACCCCUUUUCCCCUUUGCCACCCACCCCCCACCAGCACCCCAUCCUAGGGAUGCCGCCCCAGGGCUCCUCUCAUGCGUCCCCAGGUUGGGGGAGGGGCAGCACUACUUCCUCAAUUCUCAACUUCAGGUUACUGCUACAGAGCCUCACACCUGAUCCAGCCUUGAGAAAGCGAUUAGAAUAUGACUGGAAAAAAUUGUUAGUGAUCCCCAAAUGUGUAGUAUAAAGAUACAGUAAAUGCUUCUACAAAAAUAGACAUGAAUGAAACAGGCUAGUCCGGGGCUUUCAAUACAGAGCGAUGAUAGAUAUAAUAUUAGAGAAAAUUAAAAAGCAGUGCUCCCCAAAGGGAGAAUAUCCCCAAAGAUAUUCCCAGAAACUGAAUAUAAAUGCAAAAGAUGAACAGGGCUACAGCUGUGGCCUGAUGGGUUCUGACUUUGGGUACAGUCAAGGGCAGCUGGGAGGUCAGGUCCUGUUGAGUACUGAGUGAUGAGAUAGAAUUAAAUUGCCCACUGAGGUAGGGAACCAGUGUCAUGGUCACUGUGAAAAUAUUAGGGACUGGGAUUCCUCUCUUGCCCACACUUCCACCCUCUUUAAGAAGACUGAAAUAGCUUGCUACUAACUUCGCCUGGGACUGUGGCCUAGGGAGGCCCAAGGUUAACAAACGGCACCACACCUGGGCUUAACUGAGCCUCCCACAGCCAUGGGGCUGGAUAUGAGUCAUCCCCAGCGUUAUCCCAGGGCAGGAGCCCUGACUGCCAUAUAAGACCUAGUCCUAAACACCCGCCCUUGGGAAGGGCAACUGCACAGCCACUAGACGGGGAGGACUGAGGAACAAGAGAAGGGAGAUAGAAAAAACCUGGAAAUGAACCUGGAAGCUGAAAUCCCAAAACACAGAAAAACUAACACUGAGAAAGGCAGCCAGCAACAUCAAUACUAAAGAGAGAUGCAUGCCAGGUGAAGUGAAAAGAAUAUAAUCUUUGGAAAGAGACUUCAGUAUCCUCAAAGAGGCAGUUAAACAUAUAAUGUUCACUUAAAAAUCAAGCCACUGUGAGAUUAAAACCAGGCAGAAACAUGCUGUCAUAUAACAACGGAACAGAAAAAUAUUAUGUAAUAAAUGGUUUGGGAGAAAUAAUUAUUAAUAUUUG